UACGUAGGGUGCAAGCGUUGUCCGGAAUUAUUGGGCGUAAAGAGCUCGUAGGCGGCUUGUCGCGUCUGCCGUGAAAACCCAGGGCUCAACUCUGGGCGUGCGGUGGGUACGGGCAGGCUAGAGUGCGGUAGGGGAGAUUGGAAUUCCUGGUGUAGCGGUGGAAUGCGCAGAUAUCAGGAGGAACACCGAUGGCGAAGGCAGAUCUCUGGGCCGUAACUGACGCUGAGGAGCGAAAGCAUGGGGAGCGAACAGG
rnacentral:rRNA from 1 species